rnacentral:tRNA from 1 species
GUCUAGGUAGUUUCAAGGGUAGCGCGUCUGUCUUGUAAGCACUAGGUCGCGGGUUCGAUUCCCGCCCAGGGCG